rnacentral:rRNA from 1 species
AGUUCGAUCAUGGCUCAGAUUGAACGCUGGCGGAUGCUUUACACAUGCAAGUCGAACGGCAGCACGGACUUCGGUCUGGUGGCGAGUGGCGAACGGGUGAGUAAUGUAUCGGAACGUGCCUAGUAGCGGGGAUAACUACGCGAAAGCGUAGCCAAUACCGCAUACGCCCUUCGGGGAAAGCGGGGACCUUCGGGCCUCGCACUAUUAGAGCGGCCGAUAUCGGAUUAGCUAGUUGGUGGGGUAACGGCUCACCAAGGCGGACGAUCCGUAGCUGGUUUGAGGACGACCAGCCACACUGGGACUGAGACACGGCCCAGACUCCUACGGAGGCAGCAGUGGGGAAUUUUUGGACAAUGGGGAAACCCUGAUCCAGCCAUCCGCGUGUGCGAUGAAGGCCUUCGGGUUGUAAAGCACUUUUGGCAGGAAAGAAACGGCACGGAUAAUACUCCUCGUGCAACUGACGGUACCUGGCAGAAUAAGCACCGGCUAACUACGUGCCAGCAGCCGCGGUAAUACGUAGGGUGCAAGCGUUAAUCGGAAUUACUGGGCGUAAAGCGUGCGCAGGCGGUUCGGAAAGAAAGAUGUGAAAUCCCAGAGCUUAACUUUUGGAACUGCAUUUUUAACUACCGAGCUAGAGUGUGUCAGAGGGAGGUGGAAUUCCGCGUGUAGCAGUGAAAUGCGUAGAUAUGCGGAGGAACACCGAUGGCGAAGGCAGCCUCCUGGGAUAACACUGACGCUCAUGCACGAAAGCGUGGGGAGCAAAACAGGAUUAGAUACCCUGGUAGUCCACGCCCUAAACGAUGUCAACUAGCUGUUGGGGCCUUCGGGCCUUGGUAGCGCAGCUAACGCGUGAAGUUGACCGCCUGGGGAGUACGGUCGCAAGAUUAAAACUCAAAGGAAUUGACGGGGACCCGCACAAGCGGUGGAUGAUGUGAUUAAUUCGAUGCAACGCGAAAACCUUACCUACCCUUGACAUGUCUGGAAUCCCGAAGAGAUUUGGGAGUGCUCGCAAGAGAACUGAACACAGGUGCUGCAUGGCUGUCGUCAGCUCGUGUCGUGAGAUGUUGGGUUAAGUCCCGCAACGAGCGCAACCCUUGUCAUUAGUUGCUACGAAAGGGCACUCUAAUGAGACUGCCGGUGACAAACCGGAGGAAGGUGGGGAUGACGUCAUGUCCUCAUGGCCCUUAUGGGUAGGGCUUCACACGUCAUACAAUGGUCGGGACAGAGGUCGCCAACCGCGAGGGGGAGCUAAUCCCAGAAACCCGAUCGUAGUCCGGAUCGCAGUCUGCAACUCGACUGCGUGAAGUCGGAAUCGUCAGUAAUCGCGGAUCAGCAUGUCGCGGUGAAUACGUUCCCGGGUCUUGUACACACCCUCGCCCGUCACACCAUGGGAGUGGGUUUUACCAGAGUAGUUAGCCUAACCGUAAGGAGGGCGAUUACCACGGUAGGAUUCAUGACUGGGGUGAAGUCGUAACAAGGUAA